rnacentral:rRNA from 1 species
AUACGGAGGAUCCGAGCGUUAUCCGGAUUUAUUGGGUUUAAAGGGUGCGCAGGCGGCCAUUUAAGUCAGCGGUUAAAUCGUGGGGCUCAACCCCAUUCUGCCGUUGAUACUGGGUGGCUUGAUUGCGGUCGAGGUUGGCGGAAUUCGUUGUGUAGCGGUGAAAUGCAUAGAUAUGACGAAGAACACCGAUUGCGUAGGCAGCUGACCAGACCGCAAAUGACGCUCAUGCACGAAAGUGCGGGGAUCGAACAGGAUUAGAUACCCUGGUAGUCCGCACAGUAAACGAUGAAUACUUGUUUUCGGCGAUAUAAUGUCGGAGGCAAAGCGAAAGCGAUAAGUAUUCCACCUGGGGAGUACGCUGGCAACGGUGAAACUCAAAUGAAUUGACGGGG